GGGAGCAGUCUGACGGAGCACGCCGCGUGCAGGAUGAAGGUCUUCGGAUCGUAAACUGCUUUUACCGGGGAAGAGAAUGGACGGUACCCGGUGAAUAAGCCCCGGCUAACUACGUGCCAGCAGCCGCGGUAAUACGUAGGGGGCGAGCGUUGUCCGGAAUUAUUGGGCGUAAAGCGCACGCAGGCGGUCUAUUAAGUUCGGUAUGACAGUGGUCGGCUUAACCGAUCAAGGUUAUUGAAUACUGGUAGACUUGAGAGCGAGAGAGGGACAUGGAACUCCGGGAGGAGCGGUGAAAUGCGUAGAGAUCCGGAAGAACACCAAAGGCGAAGGCAGUGUCCUGGCUCGUUUCUGACGCUCAGGUGCGAAAGCUAGGGGAGCGAACGGGAUUAGAUACCCCGGUAGUCCUAGCCGUAAACGAUGACCACUAGAUGUGGGAGGUAUCGACCCCUUCCGUGUCGGAGCAAACGCGCUAAGUGGUCCGCCUGGGGAGUACGGUCGCAAGACUAAAACUCAAAGGAAUUGACGGGGACCCGCACAAGCAGCGGAGCGUGUGGUUUAAUUCGAAGCAACGCGCAGAACCUUACCAGGGUUUGACAUGCAUCUGCACCGUCCAGAGAUGGACGUCCCUUCGGGGCGGAUGCACAGGUGCUGCGUGGCUGUCGUCAGCUCGUGCCGUGAGGUGUUGGGUUAAGUCCCGCAACGAGCGCAACCCCUACUGUUAGUUGGAUUUUUCUAACGAGACUGCCACGAUAACGUGGAGGAAGGUGGGGAUGACGUCAAGUCAGCACGGCCCUGACAUCCUGGGCGACACACACGCUACAAUGGUCGGGACAACGAGUCGCGAACCCGCGAGGGGGAGCCAAUCUCCGCAAACCCGAUCUCAGUUCAGAUUGCAGGCUGCA
rnacentral:rRNA from 1 species